rnacentral:misc_RNA from 1 species
AAAGUCGUAACAAGGUUUCCGUAGGUGAACCUGCGGAAGGAUCAUUAACACGUUUACCACGUUUACACAAACUUCGUGAACUAUUCUUUGUCAUGGCUAAUGGCCUUGUGGAUGGCGGGAAGCCGAGGUAUUCUUGGUGCGAUCGCUGUCUCUUGGUCGGCCGUAAGUUAUGCGGUUGAGUACGCAGUAAGGAAACUGUUGAAGUACGUGUUCUGCGUAUGGAGAUAGGGACCCGAGAGCGUUGAUCUUCCGCACGAAAACUCUUAAUUAACCAAAUCACCCUUUUGUCAAGACUUUGCGUUAGCGGUUUUCGCUUCGUGAAGGAUUGAUGUUACUACUUAUUUUCUUUGUUAAUGAAGGACUGCGACCCGUGAUCUCACGGUUAGCUUUUCUUUAAUACAAACUCUGUACAACUCUUAGCAACGGAUAUCUUGGUUUCC